rnacentral:rRNA from 1 species
CCUACGGGUGGCAGCAGUGGGGAAUAUUGCACAAUGGGGGAAACCCUGAUGCAGCGACGCCGCGUGAGUGAAGAAGUAUUUCGGUAUGUAAAGCUCUAUCAGCAGGGAAGAAAAUGACGGUACCUGAUUAAGAAGCCCCGGCUAACUACGUGCCAGCAGCCGCGGUAAUACGUAGGGGGCAAGCGUUAUCCGGAUUUACUGGGUGUAAAGGGAGCGUAGACGGCAGCACAAGUCUGGAGUGAAAUGCCGGGGGUUAACCCCGGAACUGGUUUGGGAACUGUGCAGCUUGAGUGCAGGAGGGGGAAGUGGAAUUCCUAGGGUAGCGGUGAAAUGCGGAGAUAUUAGGAGGAACACCAGGGGCGAAGGCGGCUUACUGGACCGUAACUGACGGUGAGGCUCGAAAGCGUGGGGAGCAAACAGGAUUAGAUACCCGUGUAGUC